rnacentral:rRNA from 1 species
UACGGAGGGUGCAAGCGUUGCUCGGAUUUAUUGGGCGUAAAGGGCAGGUAGGUGGUCUCAUUUGUCUGGGGUGAAAGCCUUGAGCUUAACUCAAGAAGUGCCCCAGAAACGGUGAGACUGGAGUCCUAGAGAGGGUCGUGGAAUUCCCGGUGUAGCGGUGAAAUGCGUAGAUAUCCGGAGGAACACCGGUGGCGAAGGCGGCUUCCUGGACCGACACUGACGCUGAGGCGCGAAAGCUAGGGGAGCAAACGGG